UACGUAGGCAGCGAGCGUUGUUCGGAGUUACUGGGCGUAAAGGGUGUGUAGGCGGUUCUUUAAGUUUGGUGUGAAAUCUCCCGGCUCAACUGGGAGGGUGCGCCGAAUACUGAAUGACUAGAGUGCGGGAGAGGAAAGCGGAAUUCCUGGUGUAGCGGUGAAAUGCGUAGAUAUCAGGAGGAACACCUGCGGUGUAGACGGCUUACUGGACGGUAACUGACGCUGAGGCACGAAAGCGUGGGUAGCAAACAGG
rnacentral:rRNA from 1 species